AACGAACGCUGGCGGCAUGCCUAUACAUGCAAGUCGAACGAUGCUUUCGGGCAUAGUGGCGCACGGGUGCGUAACGCGUGGGAAUCUGCCCUUGGGUUCGGAAUAACUUCGGGGAACUGAAGCUAAUACCGGAUGAUGUCGAUAAGACCAAAGAUUUAUCGCCCAGGGAUGAGCCCGCGUAGGAUUAGCUAGUUGGUGGGGUAAAGGCCUACCAAGGCGACGAUCCUUAGCUGGUCUGAGAGGAUGAUCAGCCACACUGGGACUGAGACACGGCCCAGACUCCUACGGGAGGCAGCAGUAGGGAAUAUUGGACAAUGGGCGAAAGCCUGAUCCAGCAAUGCCGCGUGAGUGAUGAAGGCCUUAGGGUUGUAAAGCUCUUUUACCCGGGAUGAUAAUGACAGUACCGGGAGAAUAAGCUCCGGCUAACUCCGUGCCAGCCGCCGCGGUAACAC
rnacentral:rRNA from 1 species